UACGGAGGGGACUAGCGUUGUUCGGAAUUACUGGGCGUAAAGCGCGUGUAGGCUGACCGGAAAGUCGGGCGUGAAAGCCCUGGGCUCAACCCAGGAACUGCACUCGAAACUCCCGGUCUAGAGUGGUGGAGAGGGAAGUGGAAUUCCUGGUGUAGAGGUGAAAUUCGUAGAUAUCAGGAGGAACACCAGUGGCGAAGGCGGCUUCCUGGACACCAACUGACGCUGAGACGCGAAAGCGUGGGGAGCAAACAGG
rnacentral:rRNA from 1 species